rnacentral:RNase_P_RNA from 2 species
AUGUUUGAGUAAUCGCUGCAUCUUUGAUGUAGAGGAAAGUCCAUGCUCGCACAAUCUGAGAUGAUUGUAGUGUUCGUGCCUAGCGAAGUCAUAAGCUAGGGUAGUUUGGUUACGACUGGACUAACGGCAGGGAACACACCUAAGUUUACAAUUGUAAAUAUGGUGUAAAUACCUUGAAAGUGCCACAGUGACGGAGUCUUUAUAGAAAUAUAAAGAGUGGAACGGGGUAAACCCCACGAGCGAGAAACCCAAAAUUAGGUAGGGGCAUCCUUAGGAAGGAAUUGAACGGACUAAGGAACAAGCAAUAUGCUUGUAGACAGAUGAUUACUGCCUUUUGUAUGAGGGCUGACACCCGUUUGUAGUACGAAGGUACAGAACAUGGCUUACAAAA